UUCUGGUUGAUCCCGCCGGACCCGACUGCUAUUUGGGUGAGGAUAAGCCAUGCGAGUCGAAUGGGAUACCUAAAAUUCCCAUGGCGAACUGCUCAGUAACACAUGAUCAACUUACCCUAUAGAGAAAAAUAAUCUCGGGAAACUGAGGAUAAUGCUUCAUAGUUGAAUUGGCUUGGAAAAGUUUUUCAAUGAAAAGAAUAAAGAAAAUGGUCUUUAUUUGCUAUAGGAUAGGAUCGUGUUCGAUUAUGGUUGUUGGUGAGGUAAUGGCUCACCAAGCCGAUAAUCGAUAGGGGCCGUGAGAGCGGGAGCCCCGAGAUGGGUACUGAGACAACGACCCAGGCCUUACGAGGCGCGGCAGGCGCGGAACCUCCGCAAUACACGAAAGUGUGACGGGGUUACC
rnacentral:rRNA from 1 species